AUUGAACGCUGGCGGCAGGCUUAACACAUGCAAGUCGAGCGGGGUGAUGGUGCUUGCACUAUCACUUAGCGGCGGACGGGUGAGUAAUGCUUAGGAAUCUGCCUAUUAGUGGGGGACAACAUCUCGAAAGGGAUGCUAAUACCGCAUACGUCCUACGGGAGAAAGCAGGGGAUCACUUGUGACCUUGCGCUAAUAGAUGAGCCUAAGUCGGAUUAGCUAGUUGGUGGGGUAAAGGCCUACCAAGGCGACGAUCUGUAGCGGGUCUGAGAGGAUGAUCCGCCACACUGGGACUGAGACACGGCCCGGACUCCUACGGGAGGCAGCAGUGGGGAAUAUUGGACAAUGGGGGGAACCCUGAUCCAGCCAUGCCGCGUGUGUGAAGAAGGCCUUAUGGUUGUAAAGCACUUUAAGAGAGGAGGAGGCUCUUUUGGUUAAUACCCAAGAUGAGUGGACGUUACUCGCAGAAUAAGCACCGGCUAACUCUGUGCCAGCAGCCGCGGUAACAC
rnacentral:rRNA from 1 species